rnacentral:rRNA from 1 species
AUUUUUAAUAAAACAAAGACAGAGAACGCCCAAUCUCAUCUAAACCUUGAAAGCUAAGCAGAGUUUGGCCUUGUUAGUACUUGGAUGGGAGACCACCUGAAUACCGGGUGCUGUAAGCU